ensembl:lncRNA
GCAAAGUGCGUGUCAAAGAUAACGCUCUGAACAAACCAUCGCGCUACACAAGACGUGAACCCUGCGACCUCCAGCAGUGUCAUGGCUGUGCUGCGUGGAUCUACACACGACCACGGGGAGGAAACCGGAGCAGAGGAGCAGGAGGCGAAGGACAUGUCACGUUGGGCGGGGGAGGAUGGAGCCAUUGAACAUCUGCCAUGAGUUUUAGGUGCGCCCAAGAGUUUUCAGCCAAAUGCCGUUUCCGUCUUCUACGAUGGUAAUUUGACAAAGAGACGACACUCUUUUUGCAGCUGCAAAAAGUCGUAUUUCUAUUAUUAUUGCCAGAAAAGCAAGAAUGGGAGAUACAGCUUUAAGCUCCCGGAGGCUACAUCCCAAGGCCUCACCCCUCCAAAACACGCCCUUCACAUGCCUGCCCCCCCCCCAGCACCUCAUCCCUUCCUGAGCAGACUGGACUUCCUCUUGGGGAAGUGCUCCCUCUGGUGGUGAGACCGUGGUGGUGUUGAACCAGGUCUUUCAUGCUUGUGGGAAAAUAUCUUGAUCUCCACAAAACUUCCCUGGAGCCUCUCAUGAUGGAAACCUCUUCACUGAAUCCAAAACCCAAGCUCUGAUUCAACUGUGAAGCCACAGCCCGUCACUCACAGAAAUCACAGAAAUGUGGCUUCCUGCUGCAUGAUGAUAUGAAAAGGCACUGCGCUUGUUGGAUGUGUUCUUUGUUGCAGCUACAAGCUUGUCAGCUGCUAAGUGACCUGUGAGCUCGUCAUUUUAAAUACAAUAUAACGUAUUAUAUUUUGUGCAGGCAGCCACGACUCCCUUUUCCCCCAAAUUCUUCCAUUUCUUUUUUUUUUCUUUUUUUUUUCUUUUAGCUACUAGGUCCAGCUGUUUUAUAUGCAGCUGAUCAACGACGCCCAAUCAAGCGCAAGAGAAAAAGAACAAAUGAAAUGAACACUAAAAAACACCACAUGUUGUAUUCUUUGUAUUUAUUUAUUUAGAAUAAAAGUUCAAAGGCCAAAACAUUGAACAGGAAAUAAAAAAGUCAAAGUUUAAAUAUAGCUGCCGUUUAAUCCACAGAAUGAGAGUGAGAGACACCUGCGUGGCCGUCAGCCACGGCCUCGUUAACUCAGCUCUAAAAAUGGUAAUUCAGAGCCGUAUUAAAGCUGACACAUAUUUGCAGUUGGUAUUUAUUUUAAUUAGAACAGUUAAAGGAAACAGCUUUGGUAAUUAUGAUAAAGUGUUGGCAGCCUGGAUUGCUGGUGCAUCAAUAUUUGACUUCCGCAGGAUUAUAAAAUGUGGCGAGGGAGAAAAAACAUGACAGGAGGACGACACCCCCCCCGUCAGAAGUGAUUGAAUUUACAUCCACCACGAUUCUUUCCAAAAUGGCAGCAGGGCUUGGCUCUGAUUUUUAUUUUGCUCAUCCCUUGAUGGAGCCUUACGCUGUUUGACAAGACAGCAUGUUUGAACGAGUUGAGCUGGAAAAACUCAUAUUUACUGGCAUUUUACCUGAAAAAAAAGAACUCCUCGUGUUUGGCUUGGCACUGGUUUGAUUUUUGUUGUGCAUCAAUAAUUUCAAUAAUAACAAGCAGGAAAAAUGUGUGUUUGUACAGACUCCUUUAGCACUUUAGCACCUUUUAAGCUCGUUGUUUCGGUUUUCCGUCCAACUGAUCGAAGCGGCUUCGGUCUGCAAGGCCCAAAAAGUCCAUUUGAUUCUACAGUUUGAAUGCGGAAUCACAGAGGAAGGUAACGUGCUGACCAAGGUAAGAGGAGUUUGAACACUGACUUAAAUUCAUCUUUCAGUUGUAAUGUUGCCCUGUGUCUGCAUGAAGCCUAAACCAGCCCACAGUUUGCUUUUAACCGUCAUAUUAACAAAGUGCUGCAUGAACUCUUUUUUUUGUUGUUCACGUGGGGCCGAAACUCAGUCAAUACAAUAAAACUAAAUCAGCUCAGUUGGUGAAUUCACUUUCAAACUCCUGACAAGAAUAUUAUAAGUUGGACGUAUUUUUUAAAAGUUGCAACCAAGCGUCAGAAGAAAACCAACACAGGCGCAAUGAUGCAUGAGGGGAGAAAACACACUUAUAUUUGUGUGUUUCACCUACAGCCUACAGUCCUGCUGCUAUAUUAUAUCAUAUUAUAUAUCGUAUACUAACACUUUUUACUUGCUUUGCAGGAAUGUAAGUAAUGAUGCAACCUUAACGCUUGUCUUUUAAAGUGGUUACAUAUCUUCAAAUACAAUAUGCACUUUGUUGAUGUUUUGGCUUCACUUUUGGAAAGCUUUGCUGUUUUACGUCUUCAUAGACGGUCACAACUACACCAACGCGUCUUUAUUAUUAUCCCUGUGUCCACCCGUUCGGCAGCUCAGCUUUUCAGAUUUUUCCGCCCAAUAAAAAAUAAAGAAUGAUAAACCAUAAAAUGUUCCACAUCUUGCACACAUUGAUUUCAAAUUCCAUAAAAUAUUGACUUUACUUAUUUUUUUCCUGAGUACGUGAAGUUUGACCAAUUAACCAAUUACUUAGCAGUAACCA